rnacentral:rRNA from 1 species
UACGUAGGGUGCGAGCGUUGUCCGGAAUUAUUGGGCGUAAAGGGCUCGUAGGCGGUUUGUCGCGUCGGGAGUGAAAUCCACUGGCUUAACUGGUGGCUUGCUUUCGAUACGGGCAGACUGGAGGUAUGCAGGGGAGAACGGAAUUCCUGGUGUAGCGGUGAAAUGCGCAGAUAUCAGGAGGAACACCAAUUGCGAAGGCAGCUCGCUGGAACGUAACUGACGCUGAGACGCGAAAGCGUGGGGAGCAAACAGG